AAGACAAUAAUGAAGAUGGUGCUGGAGGGGAGAGAGUGCGGGUAAAAAAGAAGAAAAAGUAGUUUCCUUUAGACAGUGAACUUCAAGCCCCCCUCCCAUUUAUAACAGCCCCUGACAGGCAACGUACCAGGAAAACUGAAUCUCAGCAGAAGUGUUCGAAUCAUCAUGUUAUUAUUCAGCAAGGCAGACACUUAGACAUUGCACCAUACCUUCUGUCUGCAGCAGGAUCGGGAAUCUGAUCCACUUAUACCAAAGGCACUCCCCUAUACCAGUUAAGCCUUCCCAGCGUGCAAUUCCAUCUGCACGGAUCAUUAAUAAGGGAUAGAGCUGUCAAGCUUUUGGGAAACUCAGACUGUAGAAUGGCACACUGAACUGUAGAUGGGGACAUGGGACGAAGAGAGCUUUUGAUCUUUUGUGUGGAUUUUACCAGUGAGAAGCUUUAUAAACAGCAAAAAAGUCAUCAAGAGCUAAGAAAGGGAACCAACCUUUCUCUUUUUAAAAUUAAUACCCAUUUGGUACAAUGUCUGAGCAAGAUAAAUUGAGCCUAGAAACACCAGAAGAACCAGGAAAAGAAUCUCAAACCACCCCAGGCAUCAUAAAUCAAACAGAAGAUGAGAAGAAACAAAGUAUAAAUCAGAACCAGCAUAAUAGAAGACCCAAGUCAGGAGCUAAAGGUAAACUUGUGAGAAGUUUGGCUGUUUGUGAAGAACCCUCCCCCAAUGUAUUUGAAGAUGAUUUCCCUGGCAAUCAGUGAUUUUAAUGCUCGUGAACGGUUCCAGAUUGACAGAACUGGAAACUGCAGUUCUCCAAUUAUCCACAGAACAGCAAUCACUAUAAAAAAACACUCAAAUGUCAUCAUACCAAAGGAUGCUUAUACACAGAAAUGCAGCUUAUUUUGGAAUGGACCAUAAUGUUGGGAAGCAUGUAAUAUUAACAGGACCAGCAACAUAGGGUGAGGCCCAGCUGAGGAUAUUAAGCAAAAGGAUAUUUUACUGGGGAGUCCUCAGUACCAGCUAUUAUAAUCAUUUCUUUGUGCAGACUGGCCUGAAACCAAGUGACAGAUUCUCAUGCAACCCAAUGUAUGUUUAAUUGUGUUUAUAUGCUUAAUAAAAAUUAAGUUUUAAUACAG